GGGGGCACUGUGGGGGCAAUGGGGGGAGGAAUGGGGGGGGCACUGGGGAGGGCAGUGGGGCGGGGGGGGGGAGCUGCAGAAUGGGGUCAUUGUGGGAAUGGGGGGUGGGGGCAGCACGGUGUCCCCAUAGGGUAUGGGAUGUGGGGACACAUAGAAUGGUGUCCCUAUGGGAAUGGGGUCAUGGGGUACACCUCAAUGUCCCCAUAGGUUGUGGGAUAUGGGGACAGACAGAACAGUGCCCCUAUAGGGAAUGGGGUGUGGGGUACAGCCUAAUGAUCCCAUAGGUUAGGGGAUAUGGGGACAUAUAGAAUGGUGUCCCUAUGGGGAAUGGGGUGUGGGGUACAGAACAGUGUCCCCAUAGGUUAUGGGAUAUGGGGACAGACAGAACAGUGUCCCUAUGGGGAAUGGGGUGUGGGGUACAGCCUAAUGACCCCAUAGGUUAUGGGAUAUGGGGACAGACAGCCUGGUGACCCUAUGGGAACGGAGCAUGGGGUACAGAACGGUGUCCCCAUAGGUUAUAGGAUAUGGGGACAGACAGAACAGUGCCCCUACAGGGAAUGGGGUGUGGGGUACAGCCUAUUGACCCCAUAGGUUAUGGGAUAUGGGGACAGACAGAACGGUGUCCCUAUAAGGAAUGGGAGGGGGGGAGAAUUGCUGUGUCCCUAUAGGGAAUGGGGUGUGGGGACGUGAAGAACAGAGUCCCUAUGAGGAAUGGGGUGUGGGGUACAGAACGGUGUCCCCAUAGGUUAUAGGAUAUGGGGACAGACAGAACAGUGCCCCUAUAGGGAAUGGGGUGUGGGGUACAGCGUAAUGACCCCAUAGGUUAUGGGAUAUGGGGACAGACAGAACAGUGUCCCUAUGCGGAAUGGGGUGUGGGGUACAGCCGAAUGACCCCAUAGGUUAUGGGAUAUGGGGACACACAGAAUGGUGUCCCUAUGAGGAAUGAGUCCCUAUGGGCUCAGUGCUAUAUAUAACAUAAGGGGGGGGGGGGGGGGGCCGCCCCAUAGCGCCCUCCCUGACCUUGGGGUCACCGUUCCCGACCCUACAGCUCCACACUGCCCCC
rnacentral:lncRNA from 1 species